AUUGAACGCUGGCGGAAUGCUUUACACAUGCAAGUCGAGCGGCAGCGCGGGGCAACCUGGCGGCGAGCGGCGAACGGGUGAGUAAUACAUCGGAACGUGCCCAGACGUGGGGGAUAACUACUCGAAAGAGUGGCUAAUACCGCAUACGAUCUAAGGAUGAAAGCGGGGGAUCGCAAGACCUCGCGCGUUUGGAGCGGCCGAUGGCAGAUUAGGUAGUUGGUGGGGUAAAGGCUUACCAAGCCCGCCGAUCUGUAGCUGGUCUGAGAGGAUGAUCAGCCACACUGGAACUGAGACACGGUCCCAGACUCCUACGGGAGGCAGCAGUAGGGAAUA
rnacentral:rRNA from 1 species